AGACGUGGGGGGCGAGCGUUGUCCGGAAUUACUGGGCGUAAAGGGCGUGUAGGCGGCCUGCCAAGUCAGCUGUGAAAUUCCCCGGCUCAACCGGGGGACUGCAGUUGAAACUGGUGGGCUUGAGUGCAGGAGAGGAGGGUGGAAUUCCUGGUGUAGCGGUGAAAUGCGUAGAUAUCAGGAGGAACACCGGUGGCGAAGGCGACCUUCUGGCCUGUUACUGACGCUGAGGCGCGAAAGCUAGGGGAGCAAACAGGAUUAGAUACCCUGGUAGUCCUAGCCGUAAACGCUGGGUACUAGGUGUAGGAGGUUUCAACACCUUCUGUGCCGUAGUUAACGCAUUAAGUACCCCGCCUGGGGAGUACGGUCGCAAGGUUGAA
rnacentral:rRNA from 1 species